AUGAUAGAUGGAAAUUGUGGUUUCUGUUACCCUCGACAGUUUUUCCCUGCAACACAACAAGGAAAGGACUCAUACCCUAUAUAUAGGAGAAGGGCUAAUGGUCGCCGAGUAGAAGUUAGGAAUGCGGUGUUGGACAACAGAUGGGUUGUCCCAUACAACACCGGACUGCUCAUGAGAUAUAAUUUUCACAUUAAUGUUGAAGCUUGCUCGAGCAUAAAGGCAAUCAAAUAUUUGUACAAGUACAUAUACCAGGGGCAUGAUCGUGCUUCCUUCUCAGUUAACCCGGCGACAACUGAUGGUGGUGUGAUAAAUGAGAUUCGGCAAUACAGGGAUGCAAGAUUUGUAACACCACCAGAGUCUAUGUACAGGGUAUGUGCUUUCCGUAUGUUUGGUGUCUCUCGCAACUAUAGCUGCAUUUGCCCAACAUGCAUACUGUUGCAUUCAACGGUACUGAUAACCUAG
rnacentral:rRNA from 1 species